GGAGAGGUGCAGGAGUGGCUGAACUGGCACGCCUGGAAAGCGUGUGUACGUGAAAGCGUACCGUGGGUUCGAAUCCCACCUUCUCCG
rnacentral:tRNA from 1 species